ACACGACUACAUUAGAUACCCGUGUAGUCCUAGCCGUAAACGAUACUCGCUAGGUGUCGGCCACGGUGCGACCGUUGUCGGUGCCGUAGGGAAGCCGUGAAGCGAGCCACCUGGGAAGUACGGCCGCAAGGCUGAAACUUAAAGGAAUUGGCGGGGGAGCACAACGACGGGUGGAGCUUGCGGUUUAAUUGGAUUCAACGCCGGAAAUCUUACCGGGACCGACAGCAACAUGAAGGCCAAGCUGAAGACUUUGCCGGAUUAGCUG
rnacentral:rRNA from 1 species